GAUGGCGGCAGCUACACAUGCAGUCGACGAUGAAGCCGCUUCGGUGGUGGAUUAGUGGCGAACGGGUGAGUAACACGUGGGCAAUCUGCCCUUCACUCUGGGACAAGCCCUGGAAACGGGGUCUAAUACCGGAUAACACUCUGUCCCGCAUGGGACGGGGUUAAAAGCUCCGGCGGUGAAGGAUGAGCCCGCGGCCUAUCAGCUUGUUGGUGGGGUAAUGGCCUACCAAGGCGACGACGGGUAGCCGGCCUGAGAGGGCGACCGGCCACACUGGGACUGAAACACGGCCCAAACUCCUACGGGAGGCAGCAGUGGGGAAUAUUGCACAAUGGGCGAAAGCCUGAUGCAGCGACGCCGCGUGAGGGAUGACGGCCUUCGGGUUGUAAACCUCUUUCAGCAGGGAAGAAGCGAAAGUGACGGUACCUGCAGAAGAAGCGCCGGCUAACUACGUGCCAGCAGCCGCGGUAAUACGUAGGGCGCAAGCGUUGUCCGGAAUUAUUGGGCGUAAAGAGCUCGUAGGCGGCUUGUCACGUCGGAUGUGAAAGCCCGGGGCUUAACCCCGGGUCUGCAUUCGAUACGGGCUAGCUAGAGUGUGGUAGGGGAGAUCGGAAUUCCUGGUGUAGCGGUGAAAUGCGCAGAUAUCAGGAGGAACACCGGUGGCGAAGGCGGAUCUCUGGGCCAUUACUGACGCUGAGGAGCGAAAGCGUGGGGAGCGAACAGGAUUAGAUACCCUGGUAGUCCACGCCGUAAACGUUGGGAACUAGGUGUUGGGCGACAUUCCCACGUCGUCGGUGCCGCAGCUAACGCAUUAAGUUUCCCCGCCCUGGGGGAGUACGCCGCAAGGCCUAAAACUCAGAGGAAAUUUGACGGGGGGCCCCCGCCAACAAAGCCAAGCCGAGGAAGUCCA
rnacentral:rRNA from 1 species